rnacentral:rRNA from 1 species
GACGAACGCUGGCGGCGUGCCUAAUACAUGCAAGUAGAACGCUGAAGAGAGGAGCUUACUCUUCUUGGAUGAGUUGCGAACGGGUGAGUAACGCGCAGGUAACCUGCCUUGUAGCGGGGGAUAACUAUUGGAAACGAUAGCUAAUACCGCAUAACAAUGGAUGACACAUGUCAUUUAUUUGAAAGGGGCAAUUGCUCCACUACAAGAUGGACCUGCGUUGUAUUAGGUAGUAGGUGAGGUAUUGGCUCACUUAGGCGGCGAUACAUAGCCGACCUGAGUGGAUGAGCGGCCACGCUGAGACUGAGACACGGCCCAGUCUGCUACAGAAGGCAGCGAUAGGGAAUCUUCGGCAAUGAGGGCGACCCUGACCGAGCAGCGCCGCGUGAGUGAAGAAGGUUGUCGGAUCGUAAAUCUCUGUUGUAAGUCAAGAACGGGUGUGAGAAUGGAAAGUACCCACUGUGACGGUAGCGUACAAGAAAGGGACGGCUAACUACGUG